GAUGAACGCUGGCGGCGUGCCUAAUACAUGCAAGUCGAGCGAACAGACGAGGAGCUUGCUCCUCUGACGUUAGCGGCGGACGGGUGAGUAACACGUGGAUAACCUACCUAUAAGACUGGGAUAACUUAGGGAAACCGGAGCCAAUACCGGCUUAUAUAUUGAACCGCAUGGUUCAAUAGUGUAAGACGGUUUUGCUUCCACUUAUAGAUGGUUCCGCGCCGCAUUAGCUAGUUGGUCAGGUAACGGCUUACCAAGGCAACGAUGCGUAGCCGACCUGAGAGGGUGAUCGGCCACACUGGAACUGAGACACGGUCCAGACUCCUACGGGAGGCAGCAGUAGGGAAUCUUCCGCAAUGGGCGAAAGCCUGACGGAGCAACGCCGCGUGAGUGAUGAAGGUCUUCGGAUCGUAAAACUCUGUUAUUAGGGAAGAACAAAUGUGUAAGUAACUAUGCGCGUCUUGACGGUACCUGAACAGGAAGCCACGGCUAACUACGUG
rnacentral:rRNA from 1 species